AUACAUAGUGGGUUAGAGAUGAGUUCCAUGGAUGUAGGUCAAAAGGCCCAACCAUGUAAACUUUUGUGUGUUCUUUAUAUUUGUACUUAUUUAUACUCAUUAUGAUGAUGUUGAUGCCCAUAUUGUAUUUUACACACGAGCUCAUUUAAGCUACCCCUAAGCUUUCUUGAGCUCCCUAUAUUAACUCCUUAAAUUAACUCCUACGAGCUUCACUAAACUCUCCAUACUUUUUCCAAUAUUUGAUCACUUCAGCUCAUCACUCAAAACACAUCAUAUCACCACCCAGAUCAUUUUAGCAAUACCGAAUGCUCCUAAACAUAAGAAAAAUAUACCCUCAUUAGCUUAAUUGUUCCUUAAAUAUAAAUUUAUUUAUUUGAAUUGGAUUUGAAUUAGAUCUAGUGAAAACUACUAAUUGGUUCAAAUUAAAUUCUAAAAAUCGAAUUCUACUGAAAAUUUGAUGAAAACACUUUUAAUGAUAAAAAAUUUUCUUAUGCUUAAGUUCUUAACUUUUCUAUAUGUCCUUUAAUUAUAACACUAGUUAACUAAGUACAUCUUUGCUAUAGCUAACAAUGAGAGUCAUCAUUGAAGAAAUUGUGAAAGAAAUUUAGAUCUAUCCCAAAUAGAUGUAGGCAAUUAAAAACAAAAAAUUAACAACUUAAUUAAUUUUCAGAAAUAUUGUUCAUCAUUAUUGUUUACGGUUAUUGUUUACAAUUACUGUUCACGAUUACUAUUCAUUCGCAUAAAAAAUAUUAAUUUUCCAAAAACACAAUAAAUUGUAGAAAAUAAAUGACACGGAGAUUUUUAUGUGGUUAAGAUUAAUCAAUCCUACAUCCACGAGGCAACGCCCAAAUGAAAAGCAAUUCACUAAGUUGAGAUGUUACAACCUAUGGAUUUACCAAACUUAAGACUCUCACUUACAGUUUAUCACCAUACAGUUUACUCAACCUUAGAUUGAAUCUGCUUCUCUUGAAUAAUUGCUACCCCUUUUGAUUCACGAUCCUCAAGGCACUUCGUAAAGUGAUCAAUAGCAAUUCUUCAAUUCUUCAAUGUCUAGUGAUCCAAGAUCCGCAUAGACUCUUUACAGAGAUGAAAAGAAGAUAAAUAAAUAAAUAAAUACAACAUUAUACGCCAAAUCCAAAUUCUCUAGGGAGGAGACCGAAUUUUACUUCACUACUUUAUACUCUAUGUUAUGCGUCCUUCAAUUGUGAAAUACUUCUCUUUAUAUAGGCACUAGGAUUUCACCAAAAUAGCAAGCCUAAAAAAACUUGGUUUCUUUCUAAAUAAGAGUUUCUUUCCUCUUAUAAUUCCCAUGAAUCUAAAUAGGAAUAAAUAUGAUCUUCUUGCCUUGCUUGUCUCCCAAGAAAUAUCUAGAGUAUUUAAUGAACUUCCUGUUUGAACCAACUUCUUACUCUAAAUAAAUCUCAUGAGCCAAUUAUAGAAUCUCAUCAUUAAUAGACUUUCCAAAUUAGACAUUUAAUUAAAUUAGGAAACAAAUAUUCCUAAUAAAUUGCAAUCUCACUAAAUUAGGGAAUUAAUAAAUUAAUUCUUAUUACAAGAUAUAUGUUGGUUAAUUUAAUAAACAAUUGCUACCAAUGCUAAUGUGCAAGUAUACACAACAAGUAAUAAAGUGAUGAAUAUUCAAGAUCGUCUCCACAGGGAUUGAUGGUACUCGAAAUGCUAUAGCAAUCACAAUAGUGCAAACCAACUUACGGCCAAAGUUAACAAUCGUAAAUUAAGUUUUAUCGUAAUUGAUGAUUAUGAGAGAAUUAAAUAAAACAAUAUCGUAAUGAAAUACUAGAUAAAAUGUGUCUAAAAUUCAAUUGAAAUUAUGGUAGUUGAAUGAUCAAACUCUCCUUAUGAGCUGAUUGUUUUUCAUAAAGUUAGCACCAGUUAUUACGGCAAGUGCUGCAGCACUAGGCAGAAUUUAUCUGCAUCCUCAGUUAUUGCAUAUUGGAAGUCUCAUACCCUUAAAUCCAUUAACAAUGACCAGUUGCUAAUCUACUUAUGGUAUGGCAUUAUGAUCUUUAGUCUCUCCACCCUACAAGGUGAACACCUAUGUCUAGUGUGUCACAAAUCUUAACUUCAAGUAUUGCCCUUAUGGGAUUCAAGAUAACUUAAUCUAGGAAACUUAACUUAAGAUCGAGUAAUACUCUAAUACUAUCCGCUAAGACAUGUCAUUUUGCUGCUCUAUCUUAACUGAAACUAUUAAAUGGGUGGUCAACCGAAAUAACUGUUAUAUUCAUAAAAGCUAAUAGAGUAAAAUGCUACAUCAAUGACAUAAAAACACAUAAGAACAGUCAAGACCCCAUUGGAUUGCUUGUCACUCAACUACAAACAAGUCUAGUUCAUAUUCUAAAUGAGAAAAAUAAACAUAAAUAUAUUGAUCACGGGAUACAUCAAAACAAUUAAAGGAAGAAGAUAAUUAUAAGUUGAGCAUGAUGAAAGAUAAAUCCAAAUAAUUCGGUACGAUUCUUCAAUGUUGCCGAAACAGCACUAUGCAAUUCUGAUCUUCUUAUUCUUUCCUUUGUAAUUAUUCUAAUGAUAAUUCCCUUGCCGCCUUUUUAUAUGGUGCACGCCUCCCUUUUAUACUGCAAACUAGGGUAAAAAUAAAAGUCCAUGGGCGUGCAUGCGUUAAAUUAAGAAACAUGCAGAUUAUGAUUCUGUGGUUGACCCGCGCCUAAGUUUUCUCCCACAUUGUUCCCAGAUUGCUACAGCAAUGGUUGCUCUAACAUUCGCAACCACACUGCACUAUUCUCGAUUGUACUUUACUUCUUUUGCGGCCGUCUUCUUUCCUCCUCUUGCUCAUCUAAUGUCUCAACAUCCCCUCAUGAAUCAAGACUUUCUGAAAACCUACAAUUAUGCACCUGUUUUUAGUACAAAUUACUUUGAUUUAAGCAAAACUUAUUAAGACUCAACUAAAAUGAAUGUUUAUACAAAAUAUAACCAAAAUGUAAUUAAAAACACCUUAUUUGAUCUCUAAGUCAUCUUGAUUUAAGUCUAGAAAUGAUGUAAUAACUCUCAUUUCCUAGAGUUAUCAAUAUACAAUAAAUAAAAUUUCAAUUUAACUAGACUUGCCAUAAGAUGCCAAUUUUAUAAAUAAUGGACUUAACAAAUUGGAUUCUUGUUUUCUCUAAUUCUUUUCACUCGUCAUAUAUGUGAAGAGGCGUGGUUCAAUUCAUUAACUCAUGCAUUUAGAUUCAUUGUGCCAUUGGGCAACCUUGGUGACCUAAAGUUUGAGGGCACAUGUUGGGAUUUUAAUAAUUAUGUAAUGAGACAGAAGUAAACAUCUCCUUCGCCAAUGUACGCGGUAGAGUUUCUUUAGUAUCAAUGAAAGAAAAAAUUUAGACGCCAUCGUAAUAAACUUUAUCUAGGAUAGUCCAAUAAAUUUUUGAAUUCUAAAUAUUUGUAGUAUACAUUUAUUAUUGAAAAAAGACUUGUUGUUCUAUAUAAUCUCUAUAUACUAACUUAUUUUGAUCAGAUUUUGUCCCAACUAAGUUUGCUUUGUAAUUAUGAAUAAUGGAUACAAUUAAGGAUCUAUUUAAUAUUUUGAUGAUAUGAAAAAAAUAAAGUUAUAAGUAUGAAAAAAAAAGUUUUUAAUUAUUUUAUUUUUUUUGUAAAAAGUACUUCUUAAUAAUAUUUUUGACAAAAGUCACAAAAUUAGCUAGUAAGUGUAUUAUAAACUUCGAAUUUGAUCAAGUGCGCACCAUCAUCUGAUCAUGACUUUAUAAGUUUUUCAUCAAAAAAUUAUAGAUAAAAAUCACUUUAGUUUAAAAGUCAUUUGCAAUUAUUUAUCAGAUAUUUUACAACUACAAUAUCAAACAGGCCGUAAGUUUUGUUCAUUCAAAUUUUCUAAACAUAUUUUUUUAUUUAAUAGUUAAAAUUUGAUAACCUAAUCUAAGUAAAACUAACCUAAAUUCUUUAACUUAUCAUUGAAUCUUAAUACAUAUGUAUAGUGUUCUUUUCAACAAUCAACCAUGCCUUUUUUUUUGUUGGGGGGGGGGGGGGGGGUGGGGGGAAUCUUGUUAAACCCUUGUAUACAUCCUUACCAAUAACGAGGAUAAUAAUGUAAAAAUAAUAUUUUUAAGAUACUUUAUUCAUGUGUAAAAUAAAAUUAAAAAUAAACAUAUUAUUUAGAUUUAUAUAUUCAUAAUUUUAUAUCUAAUUAAAUUUUAGACAAAUGCGGAUUUAUUCAUAUUUAAUUAAAAAAAUAAAAGUUGCACAAGACAACCUAAUCAACAUGUAGUUAAGUACUGUUAAAUGAAAAACCAAUGCAUUUAUUAAGUAAAAUUAAAAAAAAAGUAAAAUUGAUAACAAAAAAUAUUUAAUAUGUAAAAAUCACAUUUUAUUAAUUUAAAAUUUUUUAAAUCAUAAAAUAAAUGUAUAUCUGCAUCAACAUCUCACCGGUCUAAAGAUUAAAUGGCCUCUUAUUAACAUACUUUGAUUUUGGAGAAACAAACAAACACACGACAAUGUCUAAGGGUUUGAGUCAUAAUUUUUGUCAAACCCGAGGUAGGUAAACCAUAACAUCAUAAAUUUGCUAGCGAAAGUUAGUUUUGUGCCCAUGCUAUUUUGGAUGGAGUCGAGAGUUGACGACACGAUGCUUCUUCAGAAUUUGCAAGUUGAUAUAUACAUGUUUGACUUUUAUAAAUUCUGCCAAAAGUGGACCAAAUGCAACAUGUAGCCACAAAAUUCAUCAGCUUUGCACCAUUUGACGUGUUGUUUACGGUUUUAGUGCUCACAAUUUUGAUUAAAUAUAUGUGGGAGAGAUUUUGUUGAUUAUCCAGAGGUAAUCUAAAGAGAAUUAGCUUUAAAAUUGAAAAUUAUUAGGAGUGGGCAAAUAAUCUAACAUGAUUCGAUAAAUUUGGGUGUGGAUUAAAUGAGGAUGAUACCUCUAUCCUGAUCAAAUCGGGUUUAAUUGAUAGUCCGACAUGACUAACACACAUUGAUGAUGUUUUAAAUAAAUCAUGCAAUUUAUUUUGUUCAACUAAAUCCAUACUUUAUUGGUUGAUGCGGAAAUGAAUCGUCACGAAUCUGCAAGAAUAAAAAUAAGUUUCCUCCAAUCUCCAAAAAAUCAGGAACUAGCACGAGCAAAUUGCAACAAACAUGAAUUGAUUGCUAGGGACUGGAACCGACACGAGCAAAUCUCCUUCACGAACGGAUCGUCACGAGUUUAUGUCACUGAUGAUCGAAGGACAAUCACGUAUUUGGAAAAUCCCCUCAAUUCACGAAACAAGAACCCAAUGCCUUUUUCCCUUUUUCUCUCACUCUCUUUUGAUGUUACUCUGAUUGUUGUGAUUAUUAUUGUACGUGCUAUCACGCACCCAUGUAGUGUUUAUAUAGUACAAUAAGUGUAGUUUAAUUUAAAUCAACUUCCUAGAGUUAUUUGAUAAGCUACAUCUUAUGUGAUUAUGAUUAAGAUAAAAUACUAAUUUUAUCUCAUAAGAAUCCUAGACAAACUCUAAGUUUAUCUUAUCAUUUACGUUAGAGUAAUUCAUCCCAUCAUGGGUGUUAAAUCUAACACACACAUAGAUCUAGUGACUGACGCAAGCUACUGUUGUAGCACCAAGCAAGGCCACACAGCAAUCUGCUCUACCUUGACUAUUGCCACAGCUUACUCCACUAGCCACCACGACCGUUGCUGCAGCUUGCUCCACCUUGACCGCCAUCUUCUUAGAUCCAAAUCCAAAACUAUUUUCAUGGUAUAUUAUAUUAAAUAAUUAAUUUUGAAUUUUCAUUGUAUUAUUUGCAUUAUAUAAUUCGUGCAAUGUGAGACGUGAUAUAACUUAAAAUGGAGUCUGAUAUAACUUGUUUGUAUUAUAUUCAAUGUUAUUUUCAAUUAGAUUUGAGAUUUAAAGUUGCUAAAGGCAUUGUUGGAAGAGCGAAUUGCAAGACUUUUUAACAAGUGUUUUUGAUCCAAUUCGAUUCUAUUCGAACUAUAUUUGGAUAAGAUCGGAUUAGAUUACAAGUUUGGAUUGAGUUCGGAUGAAUUUUUUCCAUCUUGAUUAACCCAAAACCUGAUCGGGUUACUCCAAACCCGAUCUGAACUUGAAUUUGGCUACCCCUAAAAAUUACCUAAACUAAGCCUUUUUUUUUUUUUAAGUAAAAGGACAUUUACACCCCUAAAAUUUAAGAAAAUAGUUACAAAAACUAAAACUUUUAAGAAAUGAUACAAAA
rnacentral:lncRNA from 1 species